GGGAGUUUGAUGCAAUAGCGUAGGUGAAUGUCAUGGCAGGAAGACAGGAGUGGGUAGGUGGAGGACCACCCUCAUAGAGGCAGGGGAAGGGGGGAUGGGAUAAGGGGUUCCGGAAGGGGAGACCUGGAAAGGGGAAAAUAUUUGAAAUGUAAUUAAAGAAAAAUAUCCAAUAAAAAAUAAGAAAAAAGAACAUCAUUAUGUAUAUGUACUGUAUUUUUAUUUUCCAUUCAUCAGUUCAUAGACAUCUACGAUGCUUCGACUUCCUAGCUAUUGUGAGCACACUAACAAAUGCUGAGCAUUGCAUUUUUGUUUUUUUUGACUCAUGCCAAGAAGUGGUAUAGCUGGGCCAUAUGGUAGAUGCAGUUUAUGCUUUUGAAAAGUCUCUACACCGAUUUUCAUAGUCACUGUACCAAUUUUUGAUCUCACCAACAGUGAGUAAGUCUCUUUCCCAACAUUCUUGUCAGUGUCACUUGUCAGUUUUGUUUGUUUGUUUGUUUGUUUUGUCGUUUUUUUGUUUUUUUGGAUUUGGGCCAUUCUGAUGGGGGUAAGAUUAAAACUGAAAGUACCUUUAAUUUGUAUUUCCCUGAUUGCUAAGAAUCAUGAACACUUUUCGACAUUUCUUAGCCACACUUACUUCUUGUUUGAUAAGACUUUAUUCAAAUCCAUCACCUAUUCUUUGACUGGGCCAAGAAAAUUAUUUUUGAGUUAUUUGUGUAUUUCACAUAUUAAUUCUCUAUAGGAUUACAACUGGUAGAUAUUUUCUUCCAUCCUGUGUCUGCCUCCUUGAUUGAUUGUGUCCUUUGCUGUAUAGAAGCUUUACAGUUUUCUGACAUCUCAUUUGUCUGUUGUUGGUCUUAAUCUGAGUGGAGUCCUAUUCAGAAAUCCCUUUCCUAUACUUGUAUCUUGUAGGAUAUGCCCUAUGUUUUCUGCCAGUUUUAGUGUUUCAGGUUUAACACUGAGGUCUUUUCAGUACAUAGCGACAUGAUCUUGUGACCUUUGUCCUUACAUCUAUUUAUAUGAUUUAUUACAUUUUUAUUUAUAUGUGUAAAUAAUCCCUGGAUUUCUUGAAUAGAGCCAACUUGAUGAAGAUUACUUUGAUAUAUGGUUAUACUUAGUUUGCAAUAAUGUUAAUAGUUUUUGCAAGUAUGUUCAUGAGGAUAUUGGCCUACAUUUUUUUUUAAUUUGUUGUCUUUACCUAGCUUUGGUAUUAGAGUUUUACUGACUUUGUCAUAGGUAUUUGGAAGUCCUCCCUAUCUUUCUUUGUUUCAUAAAAAAUAAUUUGAGAAGUAGGCCAAUUGGUGGCAGAAUUGUGCUCCUGACUAGCACAACUAUAGGACUGUCACAGGCUGUUACCAUUGAAGGGACUCUGGCCAGCUUUGAACUUGGGAAGCAUGGAACCCUUUGGCUCAUCUAAUUAACAUGCCCAAUUAAAAUUAAACAUUUCAUCCUAAAGAGGUUUCCCUUUUACCUUUAUAAACUGUCAUUUCCCUAUGUGCUACUUCUGUCUCCUCUAUCCCCCUACAGAGAUAGGAAUAAAGGCAGGCCUUUAUCACUCUGGGAUCAAUCCUCCUCACCUGUCUCAGUUGACCAUAUUCCCCCUCUUUUUUAUCCCCUUCCCCCCUUCCCUCUUUUCUACUGUGUUUGUCUCUUAUACCACUCCUUCCAUCCCUCAGGGGUAAAGAAGUCUCCUUUGUGUUGAGAACUUGGGCUUGGGACUCCUGAGUUGGUACUUUCCUUUCAAUCACCACACAUUCCAUGGAUGUAGACCUUUCUUUGCCCACAACAUCUGUUGUAAGCCCUCUCUACUUAGCAAGAGGACUGACUUGGAAAGGGGAGUCGGAUCUUUACAGUGUGGUAAUGAGUUCUAUAAGCUUCCUCUUUGGGACUUGUGAAAUCACUAUGUGAAUCUGUGUUUAAGAAGAAAUGCAGCUUUCUAAUGUUAUUCUGCUAUGCUGUUAGACCAGAGCCUAGUGUAACCAUCAUUAGAGAGGUUUCAAUCAGCAACUGAUUGGAGCAGAGGCAGAGACCCAAGGCCAAACAUUAGGUGAAGCUCAGGGAAUUUUAUGAAGGAAAGAGAGGAAGGAUUUUAGAAGUCAGAGGGUCAUGGACACCCUCAGAACAUAGCCCAGAGAAUCAUUUAAUCAGGGCUCAUAGGAGCUCACAGAGACUGAAGAGACAAUCAGGUCUGAUCUAGAUCCUCUGCAUAUGUAUUAUGGUUAUGUAGCUUACUGUUCUUAUUGGACUCCUAAUAGUGGGAGCUGGGGCUGUCUCUGAUACUUUCGUCUGCUUUUGUGACCCCUUUUCUCUUACUGGGUUGCCUCAUUUAGCCUUAAUAUAAGGGUUUGUGCUUAGUCUUAUAAUUUGUUAUACCAUGUUUGGUUGAUAUCCCUGAAAGGCCUGAUCUUUUCUGAAGGGAAAUGGAGGAGAAGUGGCUCUCGGGAAAGGGGGUGGGGGCAGGGCUGGGAGGAGAGGAGGGAGGGGAAACUGUAAAAUCAUGAUAUAAUCUAUGAAAAAAUUAAAAAAAAAGAUAUAUGAGAGAAGAAUGAAUAACUAAGGAGGAAGGAAAAAAGAAAUUAAGCAUUCAUUGUGGAGAAAUUAUAACCAUUAUACCACUUAUCCAGAACAGUAUAAGGGUGGUCUUUUAAAGUUUAAAAAGCCGAGAGAUGAUUAACUGUUCACAGAAAGAUAACUCUGUCAUUUUCUGUCUAUAAAAACUACAAAUCCAAAAAAGUUUUCUGUGUAUAUACACUUACCUUAUUUCAUGAAACAAUUUUAAAGAAUUCACAAAGUAACAAAAUUGAAAAAUUGGAAGAUAUUGUGACUAUGCAAAAAUAGUCUGAUUUUUUUCUUUCUUUCUUUUUUUUUUUUAAAUCUCGGUCUUAUCUGGCAGUUCUUUUGUAACUCUGUGGCAAGUCAGCAUAAAUUCUGGUACUUGAAAGAGCCUUUGCUCAGCUUAUUUCUGGUAUGGAAUAGCUCAAAAAUAAUGUUAAACUCCUAUAGUUUCUAAACAUAAGCAUACAUUGUGGACUAGUUUAUGCUUGUAUUGUCAAUAGAAAAACAUCAUCUUUUCUUUAAAGGAUAGAUUUGAAAGGCUAUUACAAGUCUCAGAAUACUAGGUAACCUGCAUUAAUUAAACAUAUCCUUGAUGAUGUAAGGAAAUACUAUUAUUGUUCUCUUUUUAAUUUGUUUUUUGCGUUUUUGAGACAGGGUCUAAAUGUAUAUCCCAGACUUCAAUGGAACUCACUAUAGAGUCUAAAAUGGCCUAAUACUAUGAUAAUCUUCUUGCCUCUGCCUCCUAAAGUGUUAUGAUAACAGGUGUGAGCCUCCACACCAAUCUCACUGUUUUGUUUUAUUAUACAUAAUCUGUGUUACAGUUUUAAACAUUUCUGGAUGCAUUCAUUUAGACUCUGUUGCUGGGAACAUAUUUUAAUCUGUGUAUUUUCUUCCUUCCUCCUCCCUCUCUUUUUCUCUUUUCUUCUUCUGUUUUU
rnacentral:lncRNA from 1 species